GGGAGUGUCAGGUUUCGACAGGAUAAGAACCAUGUUAUAAGCAAGUAGUAGUGAUACUAUAAAUCUUUUUUAAAAUAAUUGGAAACAGUUAUAAAUUAGCUGCGUAGUAACGCAACCAUUUUGCUAGGCUUGCUAUAGGCUUAGUAUAAAUGUUAUUUAUAUAGCUUACUUUAUAAUUAUGGUUAUAUUUAUAAAGGAAAUUAAUAACCUAGUUUAGAGCCCUUUGGCAAUUUAGCAUCUCUAAACGAAAAAGUUAAAUUGCAUAAACUUGUAGAAAGUAGUAUGUAGUCUUAUUUUGGACACGAGUUCAAUUCUCGUCACUUCCACCA
rfam:Sneathia amnii strain SN35, complete genome.